GAUGAACGCUGGCGGCGUGCCUAACACAUGCAAGUCGAGCGAGAUAAAUGUGAGUGGAGACUUCGGUCAAAGCGAUCAUUUUGAAAGCGGCGGACGGGUGAGUAACGCGUGAGCAAUCUGCCCCAUACAAAGGGAUACCCACUGGAAACGGUGAUUAAUACCUUAUAAGACCACGAAGUCGCCUGGCUUAGUGGCCAAAGAUUUUAUCGGUAUGGGAUGAGCUCGCGUCUGAUUAGCUAGUUGGUGAGGUAAUGGCUCACCAAGGCGACGAUCAGUAGCCGACCUGAGAGGGUGAACGGCCACACUGGAACUGAGACACGGUCCAGACUCCUACGGGAGGCAGCAGUGGGGAAUAUUGCACAAUGGGCGCAAGCCUGAUGCAGCAACGCCGCGUGAAUGAUGAAGGCCUUCGGGUCGUAAAGUUCUGUCCUAAGGGAAGAAUACAGUGACGGUACCUUAGGAGGAAGCCCCGGCUAACUACGUGCCAGCCGCCGCCGUAACAC
rnacentral:rRNA from 1 species